UUGACUUAUUCAGUACAGAAGACUCAGAGAGGCCUAAAAUUAACAAAGAGUUGGGUACCUCCGGCGGGCGCCCCCCGGGGGGGCCGGGGGGCCUGCGCCCCGGGCGCCGCGAGGGCGUCAGGGGAGCGGGCCGCCCGCCGAAGCAACGUUUGAAGGUAGCGUCCACGAUGGUUUAGGGAGUUUUGCAACUCUGUAAUGAUCCCUCCGCUGGUUCACCAACGGAGA
rnacentral:misc_RNA from 1 species